rnacentral:rRNA from 1 species
AACAAACGCUGGCGGCGUGCCUAACACAUGCAAGUCGUACGAGAAAGGGUCCUUCGGGGCCUGAGUAAAGUGGCGCACGGGUGAGUAACGCGUGGAUAAUCUGCCCUUCAGUUGGGAAUAACUCAUCGAAAGGUGGGCUAAUACCGAAUAAUGCUGUGAGACCUCGGUUGAUCAGCCAAAGAGAGCCACCGCUUGCAAGCCCUCGCUGAAGGAUGAGUCCGCGUACCAUUAGCUAGUUGGUAGGGUAAUGGCCUACCAAGGCGACGAUGGUUAGCGGGUCUGAGAGGAUGAUCAGCCACACUGGAACUGAGACACGGUCCAGAAUCCUACGGGAGGCAGCAGUGAGGAAUCUUGCGCAAUGGGGGCAACCCUGACGCAGCAACGCCGCGUGAGUGAGGAAGGUCUUCGGAUCGUAAAGCUCUGUCGGAUGGAAAGAACCGCAUAGGGGUAAACAGCCCCUGUGUCCGACGGUACCAUCAAAGGAAGCACCGGCUAACUCCGUGCCAGCAGCCGCCGUAAGAC